CCCUGAGAUGGUUUAAUAAAUCCAUAAUUGAGUCAACUAUAAGUGAAUAAAUUGGGCUUACUUAGCCUAAAUGAGCCCAAUGAAUUGCUUAAUAAUGCACUGUAAAAGGGAAUCACCAAAACGCGAUAUACUAGCAAAGGGGAAUCACCAAAACGCGACUAUUAUAUAUCCAUCCCAUGACUGCAAAUUGUAUUCACCAAACAAUAGAAUCUAUACUAAUCUAAAGUGACAGUUUGGUGAAAAGACAAUAUUACCCUUUUUGGCGGGAAAAUGUUAACCUAUUUUAUUUACCCUUUUCGUCAUUCUUAAAAAAGUCUGACGGCAUAGAGCAGUGUGCAAUUUUUUGCUUGUGACAGAGAGAGACCGAGAGAGGGAAACUUAGAGGGAGGGACAAAUAUUAUUUGGCAAAAAUAAUAUUAUUUGACAAAAAAAAAUUGCAGAGCAAAGCUCUUGGAAUCCGGCGACAGCUCCGACGAUGGAUGACGAGCGCGGCAAGACGACGGUUGGCCGAGAGAAAGUGAGGGAUCAGGUGCGAGAGAGAUAGGGACGAAAGGUGAGAAGAUGAAAAAGAAGAGGAAGUAGAGAGAGAUGUACUGCACCGGUGGCGGCUACAAACCCACCAAAUCCUCCGCAAAACCUUCAAUUUCCUCCGUCAAGUCCCUCCUUCGCAGCCUCCCUAUCAUGGCAUCUCUAUCCGCCACUUCAAAGAUCCGAUCUUUACCGGUAGCAAGGCGGCAUAUCCGUGAAACGAAAGGCAGGGCUGACGGUGGGGCGACGGGCGUGGGCGAGUAAAGAAGGAGGCAGAGCUGCAACGCGGGUGAGGAAGGUGCGGUGCUCUGGCCGGGAGCUGAUUUCCGCUGCCUAUUAGGAAGGAAUGAGGGAGGGAGAGAGAGACUUGAGAGAGAUGGAGGCGUCGUAUGUUAGCUUUAGGGUUUGAGGAAUAUUAAUUCAAUGUAUAUUGUUUGGACUUUAGUUUAAUGUUUAAUGGGCUUUUA